UGCCACGAGCGCCCGCGGGCGCGCGCGCGCUCUUCUUCCCUUCUCUCUCUCGAGCUUCUUCUCUUGGCGGGAGUUGCGUCCAGUGUUCCUUCGGACCACGGUAGGCGCCUCCGCUGCAGCUUCUCCUGAGAGUCCGCCGUCCAAAUCCUAGAGUGGAUGAACGCUAUCGUCCAUUUUUCCCGGCCCUUCAAGCCCCUCCUCAACGCUCACGUCGCCAGUUUCUUCGAAGUCGCCUCUGAAACCAUAGCUUUCCUUCGAUUCCUUCCUUGAACCCUAGUUUCUGAUCUCACGCCGUUGGAUUCCACAGGAUAGGUGGUGGGAUAUGGUCGAUGAGCAGUGGAUUUAAUGCUUUCAGAAGGAAUCUGCUCCAUUGCUUCCAUUCUUUUUAUGUUUUAUCUUUCUCUGUUUAUAACAUGGAAUGGGGAUUUUCUUAAAAUUUAAAGCUUGUUUUGUUUUUAUCAAGUACUGGAAUUUUUGAUUAGCUAUACAGUGUAUAGAGUUGCACUCAUUUUUUAAUUUUUCUUCAUGGUUUAGUAUUCUCCUACUCUAUAUAAAUGAUGAAUCUACGUGGUGCUUGCAGAAUUGGAUGACUCUUUGGUUUGUCUUAGUUUUUACACUAAGCUACUUGCAGAACGUUGAAAAUUAUUCUGAAAAAAAGAAACCAACUUUCCCGAGAACGAUUGAACCUUGAUUUCAGAUACUGAGUUAAGUGAUGCAAUGUUGUAAAUUUGGUACAAACAGUGAGACUGGUGUUUGCAACACUGUGUUGGCUUGACAGAAAAUUGAGACGAUGACUAGAAAGAAAAUCAUGCUGGUAUAGUAGUAGUGUCUUUAUACACCUGGAUUCAUGUUGAUGCGCAGAAGGGGAAAUCUUGAUUCACUAAAGAAAAAGAAAAUGGAGGGGCUUAAUGUACUUGUAAUUUAUGUUUUUUGCAAUAUUUAUGAAAAUUGGAUUUUUUUAUGAUACAACAGAUUGAUUAUCUAGAGCUAAAAAAGGAAAGAAGAGAUAAAGAUAGCUUGAUACCUAAUUAUAUUGAUUUCCAGUAUCAUCUUUCUAUUGAUGCAUGUGGUUUUUAUGUAUAAGGAUCUAAUUGCUCCACUUUAUUCAUCUAUGUACAGGACUAUUGGCCCCAUUCCCUUCAAGAAUUUAUAUGCACUUUGAGGUCUCUUGUCUUUCCUUGGGAGCCCAAAUUAUCACAUCUGGAAUUUUUGUAGGUCUUUUUUGGUGUCCGUGGGCUGCUCUAGGGCCAUUGGUAGAAACUUAUAUUUUACUUGAUAGGUUAUUGUUCCUUCAAGAGCAAGGCAAUUCAGUGGAAGCAUUGUUGUUCCCUCUGUUUGAUCACCAAGAAAUGUGAUUAUAGUUGCCCGAAAAACUGAUGCGGAUACACUUACAACAUGACGUGGUAACAGUACUUGUCAACUCCUGAUUUACACAUGCAUUCUCUUGUAUGUUGUUCUUGCAUUCAGGUAGUUACUUUGAGCCACUUCACGAAGAAAUGGUAAGAUGUACCUCACUCAUCAAAAGAAUAUAAAAUGUUUGCUUUUAUUUCAGGCCUGUAAACCCGAUUAUUAUUACUGUGGUAUGUGAUCAGAAAGUUGUAUAUGUGGUAAGGCCAGAGCCAGUGGGUUGAAUCAACAUAUGUUUUAUGUGUAUUCAUUUAAAUUUGCAAGACAAUUGCGUUGAGAGAACACACACUUCUUAGAAAACAAAUUUAGGCUCUUAAUUGUGGUCUUCAUCUUCUUAUUGUUAUUGAAACUGUGAAUAUGAAAAGGAGACAGGUAUAGAUGUGCAAUGGUGCAAUAAGUUAUUUUGGAGCUCUGUGAGUCUUCAAGUGCAGAACAUGACAUCUGGCUUUGUUUCAUAUUUGGUUUUUAUUUCUGUUGGUUUUUGGGCUUGGUUGGGUCGCCUAUGAUGGGCUAGCCCGACCAAGAUCAUCUAACAUUUAAAUAAGAGAGGAAAAUAGUUGAAAGAAAAGAAGAAACUACUGGGUAGUUUCUCCCUCUCUCCCUCACUUAUCUGUAUACCAUUCAUGUCUAGACUUCUCUUCAAGAAAAAUUUCAGUGUUUGAGAGAGAGAAACAUGAAGGAACAACUUUCUUGUGCCCUUUCUUGCACCAUAAGCAUUUGAACAGAGAGUUUUCUUUCCAUUGUGAUUGAACACUCGACCUUGAGUGUAUUCUAGAAGUGAAUAAACAUGUGGUUCAACCCCCUAGAUCCUUGGAAUUUCACUUUUGCACUACUCUUUCAAGGUAAUUCAUGAAACUUGAAAUUCCAUUUAUUAUGUUUUAUGUUAUCAAUUUCCUUGAAAUAUCAAUUGCAUUCUCAGAAAGAAGUGUUCGGCUUUUAUCACCUGAUUCACUUUACUUUAUUUUAAAAAUCUAUAGGUACUUUUUGUGCAGCUACUCAUUUAGGUUUUGAGCUGCAUAAUUUGUCAUAGAUGGAGGAUGAUAUCUUUGUUACAAAAAUAAAAUAGAGUUUGUUGUGAAAUGAUAUUAAUAGAAAAUUUUCCAGCGUGAUCUCCAACUGGCUGGAAAUGGGAAUAUCUAUACAAAAGAUUCCUGUACAUAUCUCUGCUGAUUGCAUUUUGCUAUGUUUUUAUGAAAAUUUAUUCUUAGUAUUUUUAAUUACUUGAAAACUGCCCUUUAUUUUGUUGGCGUGUAUUGGAGAAAUUUAUGUGCUUAAGUACCUUCUUUCAGCAGAUAGUUGUGGCUAUCGUGGAGAGCAAAUUGUUCUAACAAAAUUUUGCCAUGGUAUUUUCUCCUUUUGUAUUUGACCAUGGUGUUCUGUCUGCGCACUGAAAUGGGGAAUUUCAACCUUCUGCGUGCAACCCCUAAAAUUCACUAUAUCACAGGUAGAACCCCGGUACCAACAGCCUUUUUGAAGUUGUGAGAACAAAUCCAAGCAGGGCUCUGAUCUGUCUAAUGGAUCAUGUCAUGGUAGCUGGAAAAAUCUAACUCUGUGGCUGACGCAGUAGUGGCCUAGACAGCCAAAUGAGUUACAUCAUGACCUCAAAUUAUGGGUGGAAACAUUGAAUCCAGCACCUGUUUGUCGCCGUGUGGCACAUGUUAUGCUAUGGUUGAUUGCCAGUUGCCCAUGCAGUGGCUAAUCUUUAUCCCUCUCCAUUGGUGCCUUGUGAGGCAUAGGACCUCUCAGGUUGGUCUCAUUGGCUUCUCAGAAAGAUGACAACGACUCAAUUAUCCAAGAGGAAGGAGGAAAAGGAUGGAAGAUGUAGUUGUGGAAUUUUUCAAUGCACAGUCUACCUGAAAAAUAAAGUUUGUGUUCUCAAGAUCUCAGGACCUGAACUUGUACUAGGGGAGACAUUCUGAAGAGUUUCAUCUCAUCUUCACUUUCGAAUGAUGGAGCCAACUUCUGAUAGAGAUAUUGUUCUAGCUUUCAGGUGGUCUCAUGACAGCCAUGGAUUUAUAUAGUCUACGUAACCCUGAUAGAUUCUGUGUCACCUCCUGACCUUGAUUUGGAUAUCUAUCAUUGGGAUCGAUGGCGGCGCGCAAUUGCAGGCCACCUGGAGCAGCCAGAGAGAUGACGGAUUUGCGCUGCAACUUUGUUUGUCCAUGCUGCCUGUCCAUUUCAUGUGAUUGGAGCUUUCCACCCUAGCCAAAGCUAAAAAUUCAACCUGAUCAAGUCUUCCAGCGACCACAGAACUUUGACUCAUGCCUCCAAUCCAAAGCAAGUGUUAAAGUAGAAACUGCUAGAUGAUCAGCAUGGUUAUCAAUUUCUACUACUUUGGAUACACAUUUGGUGCUGUAUUUUAUGAGCUCCAUCCUGGAAAUCAAGGAAGUAUAAGUUCUUAUUGGGUCUUAGAACUGUACUAUCUUUUCAUGAAUUGCUAGGGCUUGGUUUGCUAUCCUUCAUUGUUCAGACUCUUUGUUCAUAAAAUCAUCUAAGUUCAAGCUAA